UGGGGAAUAUUGCGCAAUGGGCGAAAGCCUGACGCAGCGACGCCGCGUGAGGGAUGAAGGUUUUCGGAUCGUAAACCUCUGUCAGAAGGGAAGAAACCGCACUGUGCUAAUCAGCAGUGCCUUGACGGUACCUUCAAAGGAAGCACCGGCUAACUCCGUGCCAGCAGCCGCGGUAAUACGGAGGGUGCAAGCGUUAAUCGGAAUUACUAGGCGUAAAGCGCACGUAGGCUGCUUUGUAAGUCAGGGGUGAAAUCCCACGGCUCAACCGUGGAACUGCCUGUGAUACUGCUUAGCUUGAAUCCGGGAGAGGGUGGCGGAAUUCCAGGUGUAGGAGUGAAAUCCGUAGAUAUCUGGAGGAACAUCAGUGGCGAAGGCGGCCACCUGGACCGGUAUUGACGCUGAGGUGCGAAAGCGUGGGGAGCAAACAGG
rnacentral:rRNA from 1 species